UCGCGGAAAGAAACCUAAGCGAGAUUUCGUUAUAACACCAAGUUUAUUUUAAAGAAUAGAAACAGAUUUGUAAUGCGUCCUCCACGGCUGGAGUCCGGCUCAGAAUUGAACGUCUGUUCUUAUUUACAAACAACAAACUCGUUGCUAAACAAAUCUCUCCCAGGCAACUGGCCGAUUAGCAUCCAUAUUAUCGAUCGGUCCUACAGCUGACUGACGGCGCGAAGUAUACCGGGCGAUGCGCGGCGCGCAACAAUAUAAUUUUAAACCUGUAAACUUUAAGUCUAUAACUGGAAAUAAUGAUAACUUUAAGUAUAAAUUCUAAUAAAAGCAUAAGUGUGUCAAAAUUUAAAUUUAAUUCUAAACUUUCAAAAUUAUCUUCUAUCAUACCUUCGAUAUUGUCGCUGCUGUCAGUCAACUCAACUCAAUUCAACUCAAUAGCAAUACAAGACACCAUUAAGUUGUCAUAAAGUGUGAUGAGAACAGAGAGUUAUGCCUAUCAUAUAUUUCGUCCAUACGGAAUAUUAACUCAAAUAGACAAUCGGAAACAUCCUAUAGUGGCUCCUGGCACUGAAAAGGUUCUAGCUCUGGGGGAUCGUCGUCGGAAUCGCUGAGCGUAAUUAUCUCAGGCGCGUUGGACGUUAACUGGUUAUAAUUUUCCAGAGGGACGGUGUCCUCUUGGAACAAGUGUAAGAUAUUUCCCAGGAGAACCGAGGGAGGUGCAGAUAGACUCCCGGCGAAGCUGUUCGUGCUGUCAGCUCCGCGUUCCGGAGGAGAGUCCCGGAGCCGGUGUCGCUCGGACCGUUGGGAGCUGCUCCGAAAUUCCCUCUCCACUUGGCAUGCGCGUGAAUACGUAAUGUCCGGCGGGAGCGUAAGCGGUUUCCGGGAGGAACUGUCGCUCCGCCUGUCAUGCGCCAGUAACGCCAUCUGUUCGCACGCGUAAGUAUUAACUACCGCAACGGGAGGAAAGUGCAGCCGGUGCGGCACCUGCACCCUAAAUCUCACAGUUCGGCCAGCCUGACGGUGCUUCGUCCCGAAGUACAGUUCUCUACAAGUUAGAUUUUGCCGGGAUUAUUAAACACAAGUAUCACAGGUCGUUGUCCACUUGCUGCAACGCCUUGGUAAAUUGCGCCAAGUGAGAAUCAGAGAGAUUACGCCGGUCGUAUGCCAACAUGAGUUGAGACGGAGUGGUCUUAAUGACAGAGUGAAAGCGGUUCUGUUUUUCGACCAGUCCAUUCGCCCAUGGGGAAGCUACAGCUACCUUUCUGUGUUUAAAUCCGGCAAGUUUUGCAUACUGCUCGAACUCGUGCAAGCCCUCUGACGUUUCCGGCAGCGGGCCGAAGUGGUCAACGUGCAGGGUGUUCAAUGGGAUGCUCGUAGCAGCGGACCACUGAACUUCAUUUUCCCUACUAUGCGAGGAGGAAUUUGACAUCAGACAGCACCACAAUGGCCCAUCUCCUCGUGAUGUGCUCUGAUGAUAUUGAUGAUCAUGGAUUCUGGGACUAUAAAUUUUGGAUCUGAUAGUUGCCGAUAUUGAAGUUCGCAUUCGAGAGGCAUGGCAUCUACAUAUGCCACCGCACGACUCAACGCAUCCACGUGUCGCAUUUUGUCGCCAGGGCGAUGCGCUAUGCCGAAGUCGUAAUUCUGC